UACAGAGGGGGCAAGCGUUGUUCGGAAUUACUGGGCGUAAAGGGCGCGUAGGCGGCCGCCUAAGUCAGACGUGAAAUCCCUCAGCUUAACUGGGGAACUGCGUGUGAUACUGGAUGGCUUGGAUUUGGGAGAGGGAUGCGGAAUUCCAGGUGUAGCGGUGAAAUGCGUAGAUAUCUGGAGGAACACCGGUGGCGAAGGCGGCAUCCUGGACCGGAAUUGACACUGAGGAGCGAAAGCCAGGGGGGCAAACGGG
rnacentral:rRNA from 1 species